ACUGCACCACAAUGGGAACUCCCUGAAAACUCCAUUUUUUUAAAGCAAAGUUUGCAUCCCUUUUAGUUUGAAAUGAAAUAGAUUUUAAUGCCCUUAAGGAAAAGCAAUGUUUUUACUGUAGGCUUCAGGCAUUUCUCACUGAGGCCCACUACUCAAACUCCCUUUAUUGACCUGAAAGUAUUUACUCAAAGAAACAUGAUUUGCACACAAGUUCUUAGUUACCUCCCAGAAGGGUCAUGCCUUGUGCUUGUGUUUAAUGCACUGGGCUUUAUGGCCCCACUUUUCCUGAGCAUCUAGCUCUUUGUGGGUCCGAGUUCUCUUCCUGGCAGUGUUCAAAGAUCUUAAUUCUGUAGCUAGUACUGUACAUUAUUGCUGGGAUUACACAAAUAUGUAUUCUUAAUGAAAUCAUUAGUGGGCAACUUAGUUUUAUAGGUGUUUUAACAGCAUUGUCAUAAAAACUCUUGGUCGACUUAUGUUUAGGGGUGUUUUAGUGAUGUACAAAGAUAUUGGUUAGUUUGGGAUAGGCUGGGAAUUCUUUAGUUUUCCCAUUUAAAGUGUUAUAAUAAUUCCUGUUAUCCAAGUGUUUCUAUCCAAUGUGUUUUCUGGAGAAAAUAAACAUUUGAUAGAUGAAAACACGUUGUUUUAGGCACAACAAUACUAAAGAUGAUUAGUCAUAUGCUUAUACUCCAGGUAGUUGACACUACAAAAGCAGAUGGAUACAGGUACACUCAGUGGCCCCAAGUAACCCUAGUAGUAUUGUCAUUGACAAGAUUGUUUUGAAAUGUACUUUCUCAGGACAACCAAAAACCGAACUUGCCCGGACAUUGUAUUCUUGGAAGUAUUUACUAAUACAAACGUUCCAAGCUGACUUUUCACCUACAUAGAAGUUAUACACUGUGUUGGGCUAUUUGAGAUCCUGAAUCCAGUAUGCUGAACUUCUGGAGCCUGCCCACUAAUUGCCAGUAUUGACAGUGAGUUUACCAGCUAAAAAUUGCCUCAUAAUUUUUUAGGAUGCUCUCGGUAGGGUAUGACACUGCCCCUCUUCGAAUUCUAUGCAUUAUGCCAUCCAUCAACAUUGAGAUCUUGAUUCCACAGCCCAUGAUUUUAAAGAGGUCCAAAACACCAGUGUCACAGUUGACACAGCACUAUGAGUUUUCGCACUAUCAUCCUAGGGUCAAGAUACACCAGGAAUAACUAACUCAUGACUCAUUGCAUGAUUCAUCAACUUCCAAGGCUAGUAUCUACCCAACGUGUGUAGAGUAAUAGAAAUGGCUUUGGAGCCACAGUAUGUUUAAAUCCAAGCAAUAUUAGAAUAAACUUUCCUUCUGUUUCUGUUUCCCAUCUGUCCAAUGAUCAUGUUAAUGGCAUCUACAAUGUGGGUUUUUAAGGAUACCCUACAAUGCUUGGCAUAAUGAACAUCACUGUCAUUUGAUUUUUUUUUUCUAGGCUGAUGAAACCUUUUUCGGUAACCCUAGCAAGAUAAAGUAUUACCCAGUAACUCCUAUGAGGAAUUCAAGUUGCCCUGAGAAAGUGAUUCAUAACUAGGUUUGUAGAUACCUUUCUAGAGAUCCAAAUUGUAUUUAAGUCAGGUUUAUGUUCACUGCUCUAAGCAUGUUUCCUAGGUUUUCUUUUUAACUUUGUAUUCUUAAGGCUCCGUUUCUAAAAAUUAUUUCCUUUGUUAUGGCUUACAUUUAAAGAAAAAAUCUUGGGUUGUCACAAAAGAAACCUGAACAUUUGCAUGACUUUUUCAGUAGGAUUAAGCUUGUCAUUGAUCAGAACCAAGUUAAACUUUCAAGAAGGUGAAAAGCAUCAUUACUAUAUCUUUUAUGACUUGCAAUAUUUGACUGGUGUUUCUAUUGCAGCAUUAGUAUUUGAAGAAAAUAUCCAUGGUCGUCUUCUUCCCAGAACUGUAAGAACACCAGUUGGGAUCCCGGUUAGUCCUGGGGAGACAGUUUGACAGUUUACAUGUGAACAACUAAUUUGUCAGCUGCUCUGUUCAGUUUUACAUGAACUCCAUGUCAAAUGAUGCCUCGUAUCCUAUUAGGGACCUUCCAUUUCCAUUUGGGGAGUUUCCUGUAAUAAUCUGCCUUCCAAGCAGGCAAAGCAUGGGUAACACUUCCCAUCCUUUUCACCAAUGAGCCAAAAACCUAAGAUGCAAGUGGGCUAAGACUUUUAAGGCUCUUUCUUUUGCAUUCCAUGUAACCAUUCCUUUCUCCUGCCUUACCCCCCCACACCAGAAGCAAGAAUUUGAACCACAGCAAAGUGAAACAAGGCUCUUGGCAUUCACUCAUCUCCAGCUUUUCAGCUGUCAAGUGGGCUGCUUAUUGUUUCCAGUGUCAUUUUAUCACAUAUCUCCAUAAGUUACCUCUUCCUAGUUUUGGCUUGUAUUUGUCCAGAAUUUGGUCACUUGUAGUAGCAUCUGAGUGGCCUUCUCACUAAGGAAACUUCAGUUAAAGCUAAUCUUCACUGCUGUGCAGCAUGACUUCUUAAAACUUCAACCAUUCUACCUUAAAUGGAAACAAGUGUUGGACCUUGGCUUUUUCCCGACUAAUCACCUUAGAUUAUCUUUUUCAUGGAGCUUUGUACUUCAGAGCAAAAAAAAAAACCUCCUGAGACAUUUCAACCCGGUUUCCCACGUAAGAGCAGAAUAGUAGCCAACAUGAGUAGGUGGAUAUAGAGAGGUUAGAUGUUUAGCUACAUGAUUUUGUUACAAUAACAUGUUAUAUUCACCUAGUGAACAUAACAAGUCAUAAACAUUUGGAUUUUAAUUGGAAGCACUUUCAGUGAUCUGAAGUUUUCUGGGAAAUUCCACCAUAGUGGAGAUGAGCAUCAGGAGUCAGUAUUUCUAUAAUCACCAAUGACUUCCAAAUCAAUGUCUGACCAUGAUGGAGGUGUGCCAGGGGUGUUUCCAUUAAGAGAACCUGCAGAGGGGCAUGCAGCUAGUUGAGUCUUCAUGAUCUAUCAUGGUGUUCAGAGGAUGAGCAGUGUGGGCUCUAGGGCCCGUCAACUGCUGUCCCACACAGUUCCUCAAACUGGCCGACCUCUCUGCUCUGGGACACCAUCGUCUAGCUGAGUUUCUCUCAGAGCUCAACUAUGGUCCCAUUCUACCUAAUUCUGUUCUUUCACAUGAGCCACAAGUAUCUUGGUGUAAAGGCUUUCUCGUGCCUAUUACUUUUUUCCACAGGUGCUUCCCUUAAGAAAUCCCCAACUCUAUCUUGCCUCCUGAGGAACUAAAGAAAGUACUGGGAAUGGUCUGAGAUACAGUGAUCUGGGGACUUUCCGCUUGGCCAGAAAGGAUAACCCUACCAAGGGUGAAAUGUAGGACAAGGAGUCCAUGUCACUAAUUGCAGCAAAGUUGAAAAGUUGGCCAUUAGUGACCUGGGAAAAUACUCCAGAGAAAGGAAAGCCCAUAGGCACUGAUGUGUUUCAGGCAUAUAAGUAUUGGGAGACAUCACAAUGUGAGAAAAAAUAAGGGGUUGAUAUUAAAAACACAAAGAACAACAAAAAUUCUACUGAAAGAUGGGCAAAGGACUUGAAUGUUUCUCCAAAGAGUAUAUAUAGUUAGGAGGCAUAUGAAAGAUGUUCAUUGUAACUAGUCAUGAUAGAAAUACAAAUCCAAGCCAUGAGAUACAAAUUUACUCCUAUUGGAAUGGCUACUAUCAAAAUAAGGAAAAUUAAGUGUUGGCAAAUACAGAGAAACUGGAAUACCUGUGCAUUGCUAGUGGGAAUGUAAAUGGUGCAGCCACUAUGAAAGUUUGGCGAUUCCUCAAAAAACUAAACAUAAUUACUCCAUGACUCAACAAUUCUAUUCAAAUAGAGCCAAAAGAGCUGAAAACAGGGUUUAAACGUUACUUCUAAGCCCAAGUUCACUGCAGCAUUGUUCAGUCACCAAAAGAUAUAAAUCUAUAUUCAUUUAUAGAUGAUUGAGCAAAGUGGGGAAUAUGCAUGUUAUUUAGCUAUAAAGAGUGAAGUUCUGAUACACACAUAGAUCAAUCUUGAGAACAUUAUGCUAAGAGAAAUAAGCCAGACCCAAAGUGACAUUGUAUGAUCCUACUUAGGAAGUACCUAGAAUAGGCGAAUUCAUGGAAACAAUGUAGAUUAGACAUUACCAGAGCCAGGGAAAAGAAGAACGGGGACUUCCUAUUUAGUGGUUACAGAGUUUGUACUUGGACUAAUGCAAAAGCUUCCAGAAUAGGAGAUAGUUGCAAUGUCUAAUGUAAAAUAGCACUGAAUUGUACACUUAAAUGGUGUUAAGUUAUACCUAUAAUGAUAGUUAUGUUUUCCUACAAUACUACAACCGAGCCCACCAAAGAUAAUGAGGUCAAGGAAGGAAAGGCAAUGAAAGCAUGUCUACACAAAUACUUGAAAAUUAUCUGCAUGUUAACGAAGUAUUUAUUCAUGACUUGAAAAAUUAUCCACAUGCUAAUAGAAGUAUUUAUUCAUGAUUGUCAAAAGGUAGAAAUGUCCAUCAACUCAUGAUUAAGGUAUAUUGGAACGUUGUUCAGCAAUAAGGAAUAAACUACUGAUCCACAGUAUGGAAGAAACACCAACAUAUAUAGGGUAAAAGCAUCAAGAAAAACUACUCCAUAUUGUCCAAUCUCACUUCAAUGAUGUGUCCAGAAGAGGCAAGUCUAUUUAAUAGAAAUUAGCUUAAGAGCCUGGAGCAGAAGGCAGGAAUAAGGAUUGGCUACAAAUGGGCACAAGGGAACUCCAGGGUGAUUGGAGUGUUCUAAAACAGUUGUGGCGAUUUAUGCACAGUUCAGAGUUAACUAGAUUGAUUUGACACCUAAAGGGGUAAGUUUUAUGGAAUAUAAGGUACAGAACUUUUUUGCUGGUCAUGUGGAUUAAGGGCAAGUCACAGGAGAAGACCCAUAUGCAAGAAUUUGUGGUUUUGGGGCUAUGCCCUUGCUAUCCACAGUGGCGAACUGUACACCUUUCAAGAAACAGUUGCUAGCAUGCCGCUGAGUAGAGAUUAACAGCUUGACCCUGGGCAUGGGGGGAGAUCCAGGUCACCAAGAACCUUGAGCUGUAUACUAUGAGCUCAGUUCUGUCAAACCUGCUAGCUUCAACAGUCCAUUUUAAGAACUGGAAUAGCCAGGAGCAAUGCUGAGGAGAACCAGAGGGUACAACUUUCAUUAAUAAGUACUCAUACCUACGUCAUCCGAUAGUGUUGCAUCAGUACCCCUUCCCCACUGUACAGAUGUGUGUAGGAAGUGUGUACACAUAGGCUGGAGGGAUUUGCGUUUAUAAUUAGUUGGUUUAUAGAUUAGUUGACUCAGUAAAUGAAUUGAGGUUGGAGAGCUACUGCUUAUUAGCUGAUAUGAAAGUUUGACUCAGACACAACACGGCAACAGAACAUUCCCAAUGGGCAGAGCUGCAGAAGUACAUGGGUUAACUACACUGUGAUCAAUGAUUCAGGAUGACCAUGUAGUGAUUACUGGACAGUAGACAUAGCUGCCUCUUCUGUGGCUUGGAAAAAUAAGGACACAGUAGGUAAUCAAGAGUGGCUGUCACAGCAGAGAUGGAGAUCAAGAUGUUGACCACAUGUAGCCUCCAACAGCAUAGUUCCACCUUGAUGAGUCCAUCCUAGUUACUGCUGCCCCUUCAUAGAUAACACAAAGACCCACACUGAGCCAAGAGAUGUACUUAUUUCCUCAAGAGAGGAACAGGCCAUUUGGUAGUUUAAGUUAACACUCAUUCUGAAACAGCUAGUGGUUCAUGUUAAAGAGGUAGCGUGGAUGUAUGGAACCAGUGGUCCACUUGCAAACCUCUUACUAAUUGCACAGGAAUACUGAAACUGAGUGGAAACAGUGAACUCCACUAACAAGACUGAGAUCAUCAAGAGGCUAGACUCCUCAGGAAUCAAGAUCUGGGCCACACAGUCUGGCAAGAAAGCUAGACCAAGGUUGAAUCUGAUCCACAACCACCAAGAGGAAAGAACACACUCACCAAGUCAAGAUUCCUGAAGCUGUAUGAAUCUUCUCUUCCAAAGAUACCACAUUUAAUAUAGCAGCAUUGGGGACACUUUUUGUGUGUGUGUCUUUUGGUCUUUUGGGGGCCACACUCGUGGCAUAUGGAGGUUCCAAGGCUAGGAGCUC